AAAAAAUCAACUUGAAAAGCAAAAUGAAUUAUUCUACUGAAUAUCUAAGAUACCUUGGCUGUAGACGCUAAAGGCGAUCUCAAGUCCAGGUAUUCAUUUUUAUAAAGGUACUUACCCAAAAAUGCUCGAUUAUUUUAUUGCCAUUUAUUACUAGGAGAGCGACAAGACGGACUCGCAUCACUAAAAAAAAAACGGAGAGCGAUGUUAAAACAAGAGCAACAGAAAGGCAAAGGAUUUAAAGUAGAGCAUGAGAGAGAAUGCCUGAGAGAGUAAAUAAGGGAAAGAAAGAGAGCGCAAGAGAGAAAAUAAGGGAGAAAGACAGAGAGAAAGACUUGGCAGAGAAUCGCAUAGUAAGGCGAUGUGUGAAAAAAUGUUUCUCUAUUUGCAGCGUUGCGGGGAGAGUAAACAAAAAAGUGAAGUUUACUUGGUAUGCAUUCUGUUUCAAAGAACUUACAAGGCGGAUAUUACCCGGCCUUGUACGGCGAGAGAGAGGCAAAGAGAUAGAGAUAGAGCAUUUGGCAGCGUAUUUUUUCACAUUGGAAAUUUGUUUAUGGGCAAGGGCAAGACCGAAAGAAAAAAAUAAAUUAACUUGGAAAUAGUUUUUCAAUUCCUCCUUAAUUCCAGCAAAUGUCAUAUAUAUAAGAAA